GAGACAUCUGUUUUAUUUUGUUUCAGUUGGUUUUCAUCCAGUCCACUUGUUUGAGAUAUUCUGAGAUGUUUUUAACAUUUGAGCUUGUUUUCAGUUUAUAAGUGGUAUUUUUCUACAUAAGAGGAAGCAUUGUGAUCCAGAGAUGAAAGGACUGAUAUAUCUUCUGUUUCAAGGUGUUCUGCUGUAUGAGACUUUGGCAUGGGAAGUGACAAUGCCAACAGAAAUUCAUGGCCUCAAUGGUUCCUGUCUGGUUAUACCGUGCACUUACUCUUACACUUCAAACCCACCAACUAAACCACGAAGAGUUGUGUGGUAUCAGUGGGUCUCUCGUGGCUACCCUUUAGUUUAUGAGCCCUUGAAUCCAGGUAAAGUUAUUGACAAGUUCAAAGGAAAAACUGAUUUAUAUAGGCAUACAAACUCAGAUCGGGAUUGUAGUCUGCUGAUCGAAAGGGUGGAUUCGUCCCACAAUGGAGAAAAAAUAUAUGCAUGGAUUGACCCAGAUAAUAUUAAAUGGCGCACCUAUAAGUUUUAUGACGUCACCUCCACGAUUAUUGUUGACACAAAUCCACAGCAGCCCAUUAUUAAUAUUUCUGGAAGUUUAAAGACCGGUGACAGCAUUACAGUAGCGUGUUACACCUACCACACCUGUCCAUACAGAAAACCAAACAUCGUUCUGAAGGGUAUUGAAGGAUCUGAUCAAAUAGAUGAUGUCCGAAUGGAAAAUGGUCAAUGGAAAACCACUCGGACACGCAUCGGUGUUGUGAAGGCUGAACGCUCAGAUAUUGAGUGUAUUGUAAAACAUUAUGGACGCAUAACAACAAGAGCGACAAAAUCACAAAGUGCAAAAUCUUCUUUUAUAGAGUCUCCAAAACCAGUGACUCCAGUCCAAGAUAAUGCGUGUAUUUGUUUCCUGGAAUAAAACAGAUGUGAGGACCUUUGACUUGAAGACAAUUGGGCUUUACAUUCUAGCCCCCUUGUUUGCUGUGCUUCUUAUUUGCAUAUUUGCUGGAGUCCUCAUAUACAAGAAGUGUAACACGUCUUCGCGACAGAGUCUAGCAUUCUCUUUAAAUCAGAGAAAAUCCCGCACUAUUGAGGAUAAUGAAGAUUAAUACAGCAACAUGGAAGAUCUCAACAUUUAGGGAAACGUUUAAUGAAAAUGCUCCACAUCAUAAUAAAGUGUUUAAAACAGAAAAAAAAUGUUGACAUUUUUUUUUUUGUAAAUAUAAAGAAAAUACAACUUUCUCAUGUCAUGGAAAAUAGCAUCAAUAUUGUAAUUCACAACUUUUCACUCAAAGGGGACAUUCCACAAGAUGUUUUUAAGAUAUUAAAUAAAUAUUUGAUGUCCCCAUAUUACAUUAUGUGAAGUUUUAGCUCAAAAUACUAUAUAGGUAAUUUAUUGUGGCAUGUUAAAAUAGGCACUUUAUGGGUCUGAGCAAAAAUGCACCGUUUUUGUGUGUAUCCCUUUAAAUCCAAAUGAGCUGCUCAGGUGGGCGGAGUCUCAAG